GACGAACGCUGGCGGCGUGCCUAAUACAUGCAAGUAGAACGCAGUUUCGAACGGGUGAGUAACGCGUAGGUAACUGCCUCAUAGCGGGGGAUAACUAUUUGAAACGAUAGCUAAUACCGCAUACUUUGAGAUGGACCUGCGUUGUUUUAGCUAGUUGGUGAGGUAAAGGCUCACCAAGGCGACGAUAAAUAGCCGACCUGGGAGGGGGAUCGGGCAAACUGGGACUUGGAAACGGCCCAGACUCCUACGGGAGGCAGCAGUAGGGAAUCUUCGGCAAUGGGCGGAAGUCUGACCGAGCAAAGCCGCGGGAGUGAAGAAGGUUUUCGGAUCGUAAAGCUCUGUUGUGAGAGAAGCGGUAACUAAACAGAAAGGGACGGCUAACUACGUGCCAGCAGCCGCGGUAAUAC
rnacentral:rRNA from 1 species